UACGUAGGGUGCAAGCGUUGUCCGGAUUUAUUGGGCGUAAAGAGCUCGUAGGCGGUCUGUCGCGUCGGAUGUGAAAACCCAGGGCUCAACCCUGGGCCUGCAUUCGAUACGGGCAGACUAGAGUAUGGCAGGGGAGACUGGAAUUCCUGGUGUAGCGGUGAAAUGCGCAGAUAUCAGGAGGAACACCGGUGGCGAAGGCGGGUCCCUGGGCCAAAACUGACGCUGAGGAGCGAAAGCGUGGGGAGCGAACAGG
rnacentral:rRNA from 1 species